UACGGAGGGUGCAAGCGUUGUUCGGAAUUAUUGGGCGUAAAGCGCGCGCAGGCGGCCGAAAAAGUCUAUGGGUCAAAGGCCGGGGCUCAACCCCGAGUACGCCCAGGAUACUGUUCGGCUAGAGACACGUAGAGGCAAGCGGAAUUUCGGGUGUAGCGGUGGAAUGCGUAGAUAUCCGAAAGAACACCGGAGGCGAAGGCGGCUUGCUGGGCGUGAUCUGACGCUGAGGCGCGAAAGCGUGGGGAGCGAACAGG
rnacentral:rRNA from 1 species